rnacentral:rRNA from 1 species
GACGAACGCUGGCGGCGUGCUUAACACAUGCAAGUCGAACGGAAAGGCCCCUUUGGGGGUACUCGAGUGGCGAACGGGGGAGUAACACGGGAGUAACCUGCCCUUGACUUCGGGAUAACUUCAGGAAACUGGGGCUAAUACCGGAUAGGAAUCCUUGCUGCAUGGUGGGGGUUGGAAAGCUUCGGCGGUUUUGGAUGGACUCGCGGCUUAUCAGCUUGUUGGUGGGGUAGUGGCUUACCAAGGCUUUGACGGGUAGCCGGCCUGAGAGGGCGACCGGCCACAUUGGGACUGAGAUACGGCCCAGACUCCUACGGGAGGCAGCAGUGGGGAAUAUUGCACAAUGGGCGGAAGCCUGAUGCAGCAACGCCGCGUGCGGGAUGACGGCCUUCGGGUUGUAAACCGCUUUCAGCAGGGGCGAAGCUUGUGGUGACGGUACCUGCAGAAGAAGCACCGGCUAACUACGUG